rnacentral:lncRNA from 1 species
UACAUUCCUCUGGGAAGAUUGCUCUCUGAUGUCUUCAUUGAGCAUGGCUUGGUAGAUGAUCUGGAGAAGACCAGAUGUAUGGAUGAUCUGGCAAUUGAUGUGGGAAAGCCUCUGAAUGCCAAAAAUCUGAGGAGUAUGGGAAUCAUCAAAGACAUCAGAGUCAAGCCCACUAUGGAAGUGACCUGGGAAGCUCUGAAGGAUCAGAGGAAGAUGCCUCAUGGCCUUGAAAGGUUCUUCAAGAAUGAAC